GUGGACGCCAGUCUGCGUGGAGCCAACCUUGAAAUACCACCCUUUAAUGUUUGAUGUUCUAACGUGGACCCGUAAUCCGGGUUGCGGACAGUGUCUGGUGGGUAGUUUGACUGGGGCGGUCUCCUCCUAAAGAGUAACGGAGGAGCACGAAGGUUGGCUAAUCCUGGUCGGACAUCAGGAGGUUAGUGCAAUGGCAUAAGCCAGCUUGACUGCGAGCGUGACGGCGCGAGCAGGUGCGAAAGCAGGUCAUAGUGAUCCGGUGGUUCUGAAUGGAAGGGCCAUCGCUCAACGGAUAAAAGGUACUCCGGGGAUAACAGGCUGAUACCGCCCAAGAGUUCAUAUCGACGGCGGUGUUUGGCACCUCGAUGUCGGCUCAUCACAUCCUGGGGCUGAAGUAGGUCCCAAGGGUAUGGCUGUUCGCCAUUUAAAGUGGUACGCGAGCUGGGUUUAGAACGUCGUGAGACAGUUCGGUCCCUAUCUGCCGUGGGCGCUGGAGAACUGAGGGGGGCUGCUCCUAGUACGAGAGGACCGGAGUGGACGCAUCACUGGUGUUCGGGUUGUCAUGCCAAUGGCACUGCCCGGUAGCUAAAUGCGGAAGAGAUAAGUGCUGAAAGCAUCUAAGCACGAAACUUGCCCCGAGAUGAGUUCUCCCUGAGACUUAGAGUCUCCUGAAGGAACGUUGAAGACGACGACGUUGAUAGGCCGGGUGUGUAAGCGCAGCGAUGCGUUGAGCUAACCGGUACUAAUGAACCGUGAGGCUUAACCUUACAACGCCAAAG
rnacentral:rRNA from 1 species